CCCGCGUACAUGCCACCGGGGCAUCCCGGAGGCAGGAAAGGCUUCGGCCGGACAGGGAUGGGCAUGCGGCGCAUUAGGCAGUAGGCGGGGUAACGGCCCACCUAACCGACGAUGCGUAGGGGUUCUGAGAGGAAGGUCCCCCACACUGGUACUGAGACACGGACCAGACUCCUACGGGAGGCAGCAGUGAGGAAUAUUGGUCAAUGGUCGGGAGACUGAACCAGCCAAGCCGCGUGAGGGAGGAAGGUACAGAGUAUCGUAAACCUCUUUUGUCAGGGAACAAAGGCGGGGACGUGUCCCCGGAUGAGUGUACCUGAAGAAAAAGCAUCGGCUAACUCCGUGCCAGCAGCCGCGGUAAUACGGAGGAUGCGAGCGUUAUCCGGAUUUAUUGGGUUUAAAGGGUGCGCAGGCGGUCUGUUAAGUCAGCGGUCAAAGCCCGGGGCUCAACCCCGGCCCGCCGUUGAAACUGGCAGUCUCGAGUUGGAGAGAAGUAUGCGGAAUGCGCGGUGUAGCGGUGAAAUGCAUAGAUAUCGCGCAGAACUCCGAUUGCGAAGGCAGCAUGCCGGCUCCACACUGACGCUGAGGCACGAAAGCGUGGGUAUCGAACAGGAUUAGAUACCCUGGUAGUCCACGCAGUAAACGAUGAAUGCUGGCUGUCCGGGGGGACUGACCCCUGGGUGGCGAAGCGAAAGCGAUAAGCAUUCCACCUGGGGAGUACGCCGGCAACGGUGAAACUCAAAGGAAUUGACGG
rnacentral:rRNA from 1 species